rnacentral:rRNA from 1 species
UACGUAGGGUGCAAGCGUUAUCCGGAAUUAUUGGGCGUAAAGAGCUCGUAGGCGGUUUGUCGCGUCUGCUGUGAAAACCGGAGGAUCAACCUCCGGCCUGCAGUGGGUACGGGCAAACUAGAGUGCGGUAGGGGAGAUUGGAAUUCCUGGUGUAGCGGUGAAAUGCGUAGAUAUCGAGAGGAACACCUGCGGCGAAGGCGGGUUGCUGGGCUGACACUGACGCUGAGGCGCGAAAGCUAGGGGAGCGAACGGG